rnacentral:rRNA from 1 species
GAUGAACGCUAGCUACAGGCUUAACACAUGCAAGUCGAGGGGAAACGGCAUUUAGUGCUUGCACCGAAUGGACGUCGACCGGCGCACGGGUGAGUAACGCGUAUCCAACCUACCCAUUACUGUGGGAUAACCUGCCGAAAGGCAGACUAAUACCGCAUAGUCUUCGAUGACGGCAUCAGAUUUGAAGUAAAGAUUUAUCGGUAAUGGAUGGGGAUGCGUCUGAUUAGCUUGUUGGCGGGGUAACGGCCCACCAAGGCAACGAUCAGUAGGGGUUCUGAGAGGAAGGUCCCCCACAUUGGAACUGAGAUACGGUCCAAACUCCUACGGGAGGCAGCAGUGAGGAAUAUUGGUCAAUGGGCGCGAGCCUGAACCAGCCAAGUAGCGUGCAGGAUGACGGCCCUAUGGGUUGUAAACUGCUUUUGUAUGGGGAUAAAGUCAAUCACGUGUGAUUGUUUGCAGGUACCAUACGAAUAAGGACCGGCUAAUUCCGUGCCAGCAGCCGCGGUAAUACGGAAGGUCCGGGCGUUAUCCGGAUUUAUUGGGUUUAAAGGGAGCGUAGGCCGGAGAUUAAGUGUGUUGUGAAAUGUAGACGCUCAACGUCUGACUUGCAGCGCAUACUGGUUUCCUUGAGUACGCACAACGUUGGCGGAAUUCGUCGUGUAGCGGUGAAAUGCUUAGAUAUGACGAAGAACUCCGAUUGCGAAGGCAGCUGACGGGAGCGCAACUGACGCUUAAGCUCGAAGGUGCGGGUAUCGAACAGG